rnacentral:rRNA from 1 species
AUUGAACGCUGGCGGCAGGCCUAACACAUGCGAGUCGAGCGGAUGAAGGGAGCUUGCUCCUGGAUUCAGCGGCGGACGGGUGAGUAAUGCCUAGGAAUCUGCCUGGUAGUGGGGGAUAACGUCCGGAAACGGGCGCUAAUACCGCAUACGUCCUGAGGGAGAAAGUGGGGGAUCUUCGGACCUCACGCUAUCAGAUGAGCCUAGGUCGGAUUAGCUAGUUGGUGGGGUAAAGGCCUACCAAGGCGACGAUCCGUAACUGGUCUGAGAGGAUGAUCGGUCACACUGGAACUGAGACACGGUCCAGACUCCUACGGGAGGCAGCAGUGGGGAAUAUUGGACAAUGGGCGAAAGCCUGAUCCAGCCAUGCCGCGUGUGUGAAGAAGGUCUUCGGAUUGUAAAGCACUUUAAGUUGGGAGGAAGGGCAGUAAGUUAAUACCUUGCUGUUUUGACGUUACCAACAGAAUAAGCACCGGCUAACUUCGUG